GGUUUAUUUAAAUUUCUGCCCUAUUAACUUUCGAUAGUAAGGUAUUAGCUUACUAUAGUUUUAACGGGUAACGGGGAAUUAGGGUUCGAUUCCGGAGAGCGAGCCUGAGAAACGGCUACCACAUCCAAGGAAGGCAGCAGGCGCGCAAAUUACCCAAUCCCGACCGGGGAGGUAGUGACAAUAAAUACUGAUACAGGGCUCUUUUGGGUCUUGUAAUUGGAAUGAGUACAAUUUAAACCUCUUAACGAGGAACAAUUGGAGGGCAAGUCUGGUGCCAGCAGCCGCGGUAAUUCCAGCUCCAAUAGCGUAUAUUAAAGUUGUUGCAGUUAAAAAGCUCGUAGUUG
rnacentral:rRNA from 1 species